GUGUGGUGCAUGAACUGUGUAAGAUGCUUCGCGAAGAUCUGUUAUUGGACCCAUGGUUGCAUACUUGCAUGUGCCGUAGUGUUUAGUGGUGUAUCUACAGUUACAUUCAUAAAUGUCCGGAGCCAAAGUAGUCUAAUUGCCGGUACUGUAAAUGGCUGUACCUGGGACUGUUAUCAUUUUCAAUCAUUUGCGUUUUUUGAUACACGCUACAGUAUGGGUUUGCAGAUCGCUGAGAUCGUCCAACACUGAAUUCUCCCCAGGUGUUUUGCACGCCAAGAUGGAGUGAGCAUACCUACAGCCUGGCAUAUUUUUAUUGUUAACAUAAGUUUAACCAAACAUAAUUACAUCAGUGAAGGCAACUUGAUACUUGCCAGGAGAAAGUGAGUUCUACUCCAGCUAAACAUUGGCAUCGGACCGUGGCUGUGACCGGGAUGGCAACCCGUGUAGAAAUGCGGGCAUUGUGCGCAUCAGCGUCAGGCUUUUCCGGUGAAUCUUGGGCGGUGUUUGAUCUGACGAUUGUACUGGGUUGGUUGGCUACAGGAUCAUCAUUGUCGGAGAUAUAGAAUAGACCAGAUUUCUUCACGAAAGGCUACACCCUUUGAAUGGCAUAAGCACGCCGUGCAUCUUUCGAGACUAGCUACAUGCCAUCGAAAGAUACUGAAUCUGUGAAAACCAGUCCAUUGAACAAAACCUACUGUUGCUUAGCCAGCAAUGCAUUGCUGUCUGCUGACUGUUAAUGUAACCUACACUCUGUUGGAUCAGUACUCGGCUAGUGCAAAUUGUCAAUAUGGGGCUCCGGUCACACAUAUGACAGAACUGGACCUGACCGGACAGCGAGGUCGAGAAGAGAAAUUCUUCGGUGAUGACUCUGAUGAAGUGAUCAGUGAUGAGCAGCUGACGGAGACGCGAUUCUUCGGUGACGACUGAUUAGGGUAUCUUAAUGGAAGAGGAGGCUUGGUUUGGUGCCGACCAGUCUCGCUGAAGCGGAAGGAAGGACGGGAAAGGGCGUGAUGUCGCCGUCCGUCCCACUCGCCGAGCAGGACCGGUCGCCGGCCAGCCGUUGCCGCGACGCACGCCAGUCACGGAGGUGGGACAGCCGCAACAGCAACCUGCACUGCUCCGUCCUCCCUCGCCGCGCGCCACCGGCAGUCCAGCACACAGCACAGUAGUAUUUUUUUGGAUUUUUUUUUUCUCCACCAGCGAGCCUCUCCACCAGGGCACUGUAGUUGAUUAGUAUUUUUUUUCUCGUAGAUAAUAAAACAUAAAUAUAUUUUAUUUAUGAU